CCUACGGGAGGCAGCAGUGGGGAAUAUUGGACAAUGGGCGAAAGCCUGAUCCAGCCAUGCCGCGUGUGUGAAGAAGGCCUUCGGGUUGUAAAGCACUUUCAGUGGGGAAGAAAGCCUUGGGGCUAAUACCCUCGAGGAAGGACAUCACCCACAGAAGAAGCACCGGCUAACUCCGUGCCAGCAGCCGCGGUAAUACGGAGGGUGCGAGCGUUAAUCGGAAUUACUGGGCGUAAAGCGCGCGUAGGCGGUCUGAUAAGCCGGUUGUGAAAGCCCCGGGCUCAACCUGGGAACGGCAUCCGGAACUGGCAGGCUAGAGGGCAGGAGAGGAAGGUAGAAUUCCCGGGGGAGCGGUGGAAUGCGUAGAGAUCGGGAGGAAUACCAGUUGCGAAGGCGGCCUUCUGGACUGACACUGACGCUGAGGUGCGAAAGCGUGGGUAGCAAACAGGAUUAGAUACCCUAGUAGUC
rnacentral:rRNA from 1 species